GAAAUGCGAUAAGUAGUGUGAAUUGCAGAAUUCAGUGAAUCAUCGAAUCUUUGAACGCACAUUGCGCCCCUUGGUAUUCCGUGGGGCAUGCCUGUUCGAGCGUCAUCUACACCCUCAAGCUCUGCUUGGUGUUGGGCGUCUGUCCCGCCUCCGCGCGCGGACUCGCCCCAAAUGCAUUGGCAGCGGUUCCUUGCCCCCCUCUUUGCGCAGCACAUUGCCAUUCGAGGCGGCGGCGGCCCGCGUCCAACAAGCUCAACCCCCCCGUCUUUGACCUCGGAUCAGGUAGGGAUACCCGCUGAACUUAAGC
rnacentral:misc_RNA from 1 species